rnacentral:rRNA from 1 species
UUACUUAAAGCGUAUGGAGGAUGCCUAGACUGAAGUAAGCGAUGAAGGACGUAGCAGGUUGCGAUAAGCCUCGGGGAGCUGCCAAGCAAGCUUUGAUCCGAGGAUUUCCGAAUGAGACAACUCUUCGCCGAUGAGGCGAAAUCAUUAACUGAAUUCAUAGGUUAAUGAAGCACACCCUGGGAACUGAAACAUCUUAGUACCAGGAGGAAAAGAAAACAAUAGUGAUUCCGCAAGUAGUGGCGAGCGAAAGCGGAACAGCCGACACUCUUUAGCAUUGAUCCAAUAGAAUGUCUCUGGAAAGAGCGACCAUAGAGGGUAAUAGUCCCGUAUAUGAACGAUUGAUGUGGAAAUAGGUGUGUCAAAAAGUAGGGCGGGACCGGAGAAAUCCCGUUUGAAGAUGGGAGCACUAACUUCCAAGGCUAAAUAUUACUUCAGAUCGAUAGUGAACUAGUACCGUGAGGGAAAGGUGAAAAGCAUCCCGAUAAGGGAGAUGAAAUAGUAUCUGAAACCAUACGCUAACAAAGAAUCAGAGCCCCGGCGCUUGCGUCGAGGUGAUGGUGUGCUUUUUGCAGAACGAGCCAACGAGUUAGUUUUAUAUGGCAGCGUAAGCCACUUUGUGGCGGACGCAUAGUGAAAGCGAGGCUUAACCGCCGCAUAUUGUCGUAUGGACUAGACCCGAAGCCAGGCGAGCUACAUAUGAGCAGGGUGAACUCCGAGUAACAUCGGGGGGAGGCCCGAACCCACUAGUCGUUCGACUCUAGGGGAUGACUUGUGUGUAGAGGAGAAAUUCCAAUCGAGCUUGGCAAUAGCUGGUUCUCUCCGAAAUAGCUUGAGGGCUAGCGUUCGGUAAAUGAGCAUGGGAGGUAGAGCUACUGAAUGAGGCCGCGCGGCUUGCCGUAGCGAUCUCAACCAAACUCCGAAUUCCCAUGUUUCUUAUCCGAGCAGUCAGAAAUCCGGCUCUAAGGUCGGAUCUCAAAAGGGAAAAAGCCCAGAUCAUAAUCUAAGGUCCCCAAAUUCAUGUUAAGUGGAAAAGGAAGUAAAGUUUCUCAAACACCUAGGAGGUUGGCUUAGAAGCAGCCAUCCUUUAAAGAGUGCGUAAUAGCUCACUAGUUUAGAGAUUUUGCGCCGAAAAUGUAACGGGGCUAAACAUGAUACCGAAGAUAUGGACUCCAUUAGGUUUGGUAGGAGAGCGUUCCUUGUGCGUUGAAGCCUAAGGCGUGAGCCGUGGUGGAGCGCAGGGAAGUGAGAAUGUUGGCAUAAGUAACCGCAAUGCACGUGAGAGCCGUGCACCCCGAAAGUCCAAGGUUUCCUGGGCAAUGGUGAUCAUCCCAGGGUUAGUCGGUCCUAAGGCGAGGCUGAAAAGCGUAGUCGAUGGACAACAGGUUAAUAUUCCUGUACUGAAAUAAUAUUCGAUGGAGGGACGCAUUUUAGUAUAUUCUGCGCCUUAAUGGAUUGGCGUAGGGUUUUUAAGGAAGCUUUCUAGGAAAAUCCGGAAAGCAAUAUUCCAAGAAUUCUCUGGAACCCCGACCUCGUGUCGGGGGAACAGAAUAAAGCAAAGUGCCAGGAAAAACUUCUAAGAUUAGUAUUAUUUCAUCCGUACCGCAAACCGACACAGGUGGACAGGGCGAGUAGCCCAAGGGGAACGGGAGAACCUUCGUUAAGGAACUCGGCAAAACAGCUAGACGUAAGUUCGCAAGAUGUCUCGCCUAUAUCGCAAGGUAUAGGCCGCAGCUAAAGAUCCCAAGCGACUGUUUAUCAAAAACACAGGUCUCUGCAAACCCGCAAGGGGAAGUAUAGGGGCUGACGCCUGACCAGUGCUGGAACGUUAACGGGAGCGGUGCAAGCCAAUCCCCGAAGCGCCAGUGAACGUCGGCGAUAACUAUAAAAUUCUGACCCGCAUCAAAGGCGUAACGAUUUGGGAACUGUCUCAACGAAGGACCCGGUGAAAUUGCAGUGGGGGUAAAGAUGCCCCCUACCUACGGCAAGACGAAAAGACCCCGUGGAGCUUUACUACAACUUGGCAUUGAAUUGUGAUUUUAGUUGCCGAGCAUAGGUGGGAGACUUUGAAGUUUCGACUCAGGUUGAAAUGGAGUCAACAGUGGAAUACCACCCUGCUGGAAUUAUAAUUCUAACCCUGGUCUGUUAUCUGGAUCUGAUGAUAUAAAUUAGCCUAAAAAGUCUAGAUACCAGACCGGGAACAGUGCCUGGCGGGUAGUUUGACUGGGGCGGUCGCCUCCUAAAUGGCAACGGAGGCGUUUACAAAGGUUGGCUAGGUCCGGAUGGAAAUCGGGCUGAUAGUGCAAACGCAUAAGCCAGCUUUACUGAGAGACCCAUAAGUCGAUCAGUUACGAAAGUAGAAGUUAGUGAACCGACUAUCACUUGUAGGAGUGUAGAAGAUCAUCAGAUAAAAGUUACCCCGGGGAUAACAGGCUGAUCCCUCCCAAGAGUUCACAUCGACGGAGGGGUUUGGCACCUCGAUGUCGGCUCAUCGCAUCCUGGGGCUGGAGAAGGUCCCAAGGGUUUGGCUGUUCGCCAAUUAAAGCGGUAC